GGACGCUCAACCGACAGAGCCGCCCAGGCGCCCCAGCCAUUUGUCAUUUUUAAGAUGAACGAUUUGAGUGACAGGAGAUUCUUUCGGAAACUCACAGGGGGGCCAAAGUGAGACCUCAGCAUCAGGACAAUGAGUUGGUGACGACUAUCUUAAGGAAAAGGAAUGAGGAAGCUAUAGUUGACUCCUCACUCUCAGCAAAUACCGUGGCCACUGACACUGACCUGAGAGCAGCAUGAGGCUAUGGAAACUAUGCCUUUCUCCAAAUCCAGCCCAUCAUUCCAAGUGCACUUCUCUCUUUGGAUUCGUGAGCAUAACUGAAGAGGGUGCACGAGGGUUCUAGCGGAUAUCGAUUAAUUUUAAGUUUUCGAGCCCAGAGAAUUCCUUGUUUUAACUAAUCUCCCGUUAAACCGAAGCAAGGCAUGGUCAACCACAACAAAGAUGGCGGCAGCAACGUCUCCACGGCAACGGCGACGCAUUUGUCCGCAAGCGCACCAACUUUUGUUCCGGCCUGCCAUUUUGACGUCACUUCCGGCUCCGGCGGGCGGUGUGCGCGCAGCUCUUACUGUUGCUGCUGCGGUGGAGAUCCCGGUCCUGGUGAGUGGAGUCUGAGUGAGUCUCGCGGAGGGACUCGGAGAGAAUGGGGCACCAGCAGCAUGGAAAGGGAAGGUGGGAAGAACGCGGCUGUUGUCGCAGUUGUGACUGAGCCUCGGUUUACCCAGCGAUACAGGGAAUAUCUCGAGAAGCAGAAACUCUUGGAUAGACAGCACCGUGUGGCAAAGAUGCCGGAUGGCACCGUGGCGCUACCCGUGCUGGGCGAGGCUCUCCGUGAACAGCACCUGCGGGAGCUGAGGAAUUGUGUGGCCCCAGGCAGCACCUGUAUAGUAACCCAGCUCCUGCAUCCUGUUCCCUCCAAGAAGGCUCAGAGUUGUUCACCUGCCCAAAGGCUGUGUCUUGAAGUGAGUCGCUGGGUAGAGGGCCGGGGAGUGACGUGGUCAGCUGAGUUGGAGGCUGAUUUGCCCCGAUCUUGGCAACGGCAUGGUAACCUCUUGUUGCUGAGUGAAGACUGUUUCCAAGCCAAGCAGUGGAAAAAUCUGGAACCAGAACUCUGGGAGACUGUUGCGUCGGCCCUUGGCGUCCGUCGUGUGGCCAAACGAGGGCGGGUAUCACCAGACGGCACUCGAACACCAGCCGUGACUCUGCUGCUGGGCGACCAUGGCUGGGUAGAGCAUGUCGAUAAUGGGAUCCGAUAUAAGUUUGACGUGACCCAGUGCAUGUUCUCCUUCGGAAACAUCACGGAGAAGCUUCGAGUGGCAUCGCUGCCCUGUGCCAGAGAGGUGCUGGUGGAUCUCUACGCAGGGAUUGGCUAUUUUACGUUGCCCUUCCUGGUGCAUGCUGGUGCUGCCUUCGUCCACGCCUGUGAGUGGAACCCCCAUGCUGUAGUUGCCCUGAGAACUAAUCUUGAGAUCAAUGGAGUGGCAGAUCGGUGCCAAAUACACUUUGGGGAUAACAGAAAACUGAAGCUCUCAAACAUUGCAGACAGGGUGAACCUGGGGCUGAUUCCCAGCUCUGAAGAAGGCUGGCCCAUUGCCUGCCAGGUGCUAAAACAGGAUGCUGGGGGCAUUUUGCAUAUCCACCAAAAUGUGGAAUCUUUCCCAGGGAAGAAUCUCCAGCCUCUUGGAAGCAGUGAAAUGGAGAAGGAGCAUCGGCCUUAUCCUCAGCAAAUUAUCACCAACCAAGGGACAAAUGGAGCUACCGGGGAUUCUAGGAGAAAAACACUGCCAGCCGCCACCAAACCAGAGUGGCAGAGAUGGGCAGAAUCUGCAGAAACUCGUAUUGCCACCCUUCUUCGGCAGGUGCACGGGAAACCAUGGAAGACACAAAUCCUGCACAUCCAACCAGUGAAAUCCUACGCUCCCCAUGUGGACCACAUAGUCUUGGAUCUGGAAUGCCGCCCCUGCCCUCUAGUUGGCUAGAGAAGGUGGAUCCUGAGACCCAAGGAUCUACAUGUGGACAUCAGGCCCAACGUGAGGAGCUCUAGGGAGUGAGAGAUACUCUACAGGGUUUCUCAAGCGUCACUUUGUUUUGUGACUGUCUGCCAGCACCGUUGUGUGCCCCUGGAAUGACUGAUCGCAGAGAAGCACUGUUUACCUUUGGAAUGACUAAUAGUUGAGAAUCACUUUUCGGAGCUGUGUUUUCGUGCACUUCGAAGCCAUCUGGGCUGUUUGCCUGAUGAAGGAUGCACAGGGAAGUUGUGCUUUCUCAGGAUUAUGACUGUGUCUGGCAUUCAGCUUGUUGGGCUCGAGCUGGGGCCGCUCGUCCUUCUCGGGACAGCGUCAGUAAGGACAGGAUUGGUGCUGUUUAUGCUUCCACGCAAAUUAAAUGCCUGCUGUCUAUAUGAGCUGCAGAUGCAUUCGAUACAGACCCUGUCUCUGAGGAGUUCACAACCUAGCAGCAGAAAUAACACAAAAACUCAGAGCUGGAAUACAGUAGGUACCGUAAGAGUGCUAGCACCAUGUAGAAGUGCAAAGGUGAAGAAAAGUUUUCAGAAUGGGGAAGCCUUCAGAGGGGUAGUGUUUGACCCGGCUCUUAAAAACUGGGUAAGAUUUUGUUAGUGAGUCAGGCUGGAAACAGAUGCUAGCGGAAGAAAAUAGUGCAGAGAGUUGGCUCAGAAGAUGUUUGGAGCACCGUCACUAGAGCAGUCCGGAACAGAAGAAGCGGCGAGAGGUGUGUUGAAGAUGGAGGUCGUUGUAAGGAUGAAAAAGAAUAGUGUCCGGUACCCAGUAAGCCCCCAGGAAGUGGUAGCCAUCGUGGGAAGGGGGCCUGACUGGUCCAUUACCAUCCCACCGAGUGGCCUGUGGUUGCCCGAAUCCUCUCCUCUUCCCCAUAUUGGUUUCUGACACGCGUGCCUGCAGCUUUUGUGCCUCCGGCUAAAAAUGCCACGCUGGGACUGGAGGCCGCGUGGGGAGGAAGGAAGGCAGGGGAGAAACAGGGAGGAAGGGGGGUCAGGGAGCCACGUGGCUAGGGGCUGAGGAGUUACCUUUCUGACCUAAGCUACGGAUGGGCCGCUGACAUCAGAUACACCUGACUGGUCUCGUUCGACCUGUUACGUACACAUCAGGCCUUGAGUGUUCAGUGGUCAAAGAAGAUUGACAUGGAUUCUGCCUUCAUGGAAUUGAGGUUCCACUCAUACACUUUCCGGCCUCCCUUCUUUCUCUGUGACCUGAGGCAGUCUCUCAAGAUUUAGUGUCCUCGUCUGUACAUACAGGUUAACAAGUGUACGUAGCCCGAAGCAUACUUGUUAGGGCUAAGCGAGUUAACGGGCCUGAACCGUCAACACCGUGACUGGCACGUAGUGAGUACUUCAGUCUUCGUGUAAGGUGAACUGCCCGGUUCCUACUUUGGGUGUGAGGAAUUGCUGUACAUUUGCUUUAGUUAAAGUAGAGGGUCCUUGUUUUGAAAAGCCAUUCACUGAUUAAUUGGGAUGUGCCGUGUACUCUCGCUGUCAGGCACCGUGCUGAGGGCCAGAGACACAGAGUCUUCUCCGAGCACUUGCUGGAUUGGCCUGGUCAGAAAGAGGCACCUAAUGGAACCGAGGAAAAAAGACUGAAAGGAUCAGGAGGCUCAUGGAGGCUUGGUCACCUCAGU